UACGGAGGGUGCAAGCGUUGUUCGGAAUCACUGGGCGUAAAGGGCGUGUAGGCGGUCCGCUAAGUCUGAUGUGAAAGCCCGGGGCUCACCCCCGGAAGGGCAUUGGAAACUGGCGGACUCGAGUCCCGGAGAGGAAGGUGGAAUUCCUGGUGUAGCGGUGAAAUGCGCAGAUAUCAGGAGGAACACCAAUGGCGAAGGCAGCUCGCUGGGACGUGACUGACGCUGAGACGCGAAAGCGUGGGGAGCAAACAGG
rnacentral:rRNA from 1 species